GGUAGGGUAACGGCCUACCAAGGCGAAGACGGGUAGGGGGUGUGAGAGCACGGCCCCCCACAAUGGGACUGAGACACGGCCCAUACUCCUACGGGAGGCAGCAGCAGGGAAUAUUGCACAAUGGACGGAAGUCUGAUGCAGCGACGCCGCGUGAAUGAGGAAGGCCUUCGGGUUGUAAAAUUCUUUUAGCGGGGAAGAGGAAGGACGGUACCCGUUGAAUAAGCGUCGGCUAACUACGUGCCAGCAGCCGCGGUAAGACGUAGGACGCAAGCGUUAUCCGGAUUUACUGGGCGUAAAGCGUCUGUAGGCGGAAGUGUAAGUUGGGCGUGAAAGCUCCGGGCUUAACCCGGAGAGGCCGUUCAAUACUGCAGUUCUAGAGGGUGUCAGAGGGGAGCGGAAUUCCUGGUGUAGCGGUAAAAUGCGCAGAUAUCAGGAGGAACACCGGUGGCGAAGGCGGCUCCCUAGGGCAAACCUGACGCUGAGAGACGAAAGCUAGGGGAGCGAACAGGAUUAGAGACCCUGGUAGUCCUAGCCCUAAACGAUGAAUGCUAGGUGUGGGGCCGAACGGCUCUGUGCCGCAGCUAACGCGAUAAGCAUUCCGCCUGGGGAGUACGACCGCAAGGUUAAAACUCAAACGAAUUGACGGGGCCCCGCACAAGCAGCGGAGCGUGUGGUUUAAUUCGAUUUACACGAAGAACCUUACCUGGGUUUGACAUGGAGGUGGUAGCGAGGCGAAAGCUGAGUGACCCUUCGGGGAGCCUCCACAGGUGCUGCAUGGCUGUCGUCAGCUCGUGCCGUGAGGUGUCGGGUUAAGUCCCGUAACGAGCGCAACCCUUGCCCUUAGUUAUACGUGUCUAAGGGGACUGCCGGCGGAAAGCCGGAGGAAGGUGGGGAUGACGUCAAGUCAGCAUGGCCUUUAUGUCCAGGGCUACACACACGCUACGAUGGCCGGUACAAAGGGCAGCCAAGCCGCGAGGUGGAGCGAAUCCCAACAAAGCCGGUCGUAGUUCGAAUUGCAGGCUGCAACUCGCCUGCAUGAAGCUGGAGUUGCUAGUAACCGCGCGUCAGCUAUAGUGCGGUGAAUACGUUCCCGGGGCUUGUACACACCGCCCGUCACGUCAUGGGAGUCGGUAACGCCUGAAGCCGGUGGUCUAACCUUAAACGGGGGGACGCUGUCGAAGGCGGGACUGGCAACUGGGACGAAGUCGUAACAAGGUAGCGGUACCGGAAGGUGCGGCUGG
rnacentral:rRNA from 1 species